UACGAGGGGGGCGAGCGUUGUUCGGAAUUAUUGGGCGUAAAGGGUGCGUAGGCGGUUUGGUAAGUCGGGUGUGAAAUCUUGGAGCUUAACUCCGAAACUGCAUUCGAUACUGCCGUGCUUGAGGACUGGAGAGGAGACUGGAAUUUACGGUGUAGCGGUGAAAUGCGUAGAUAUCGUAAGGAAGACCAGUGGCGAAGGCGGGUCUCUGGACAGUUCCUGACGCUGAGGCACGAAGGCCAGGGGAGCAAACGGG
rnacentral:rRNA from 1 species